UAUAAAUUUCCUUCGCUUCCCCGAUUGCGCUAGCUUCCCAUUCCCUCCCAAAUUGAACAAAGCCACGACCUCCAUCUCUCGUCAGCCAAAAACCAAUACAAACUCAUGAUAGUUUAUCAUUGAUACAGAGCUUUUUCCUAAUAAUGCACAUAGAGAUUAAGGCCGAGAUUGCAAUCUUUCAGCAAGAAAUUCAACGAGGAAGAUUCGAUGAUAAGACGCUGCGAAUUCUUGAAUCCAUUUUGGUGUGCAAAGAUGUGAAAUCCUUGAUGGAAAUGCGAUUUAGCUUAAGAGAAUUCAUGAGAUCUAAAUCUCUCUCUGUUAUGCGUGCGAUUACAGAGAAAGCUGUUUCCGAGAAGCUUAGGAUUCUCGAAUUCUUUGUUCGUGCUUUCGCUCUCUUGGGUGAUGCUAAGAGUUGUUUCGCUCUGAAAUAUGAGGCUUUGCUUUUACGGCAAGUUGAGUCUUCAAGUUGCCAAUCUCUACAAGUUUCAUAUAUGGAAUGGCUAAAUUUUGCUGGAAACUUAAUUGAUAAUGGUUGUUAUCCAGUUGCUAGACAGGCAUGUGAAAAUGCUCUGUUAUGCCUUCAAAAGGAUGGUGUUGCCAAUUCCAAAACAAGUGAAUUCCCUGUGGACAAAAGAAUAAAAAGUCUCAGGGAAUAUGCCGUGAAGUUUGCAGCUCCAAGUUCUGAGUUGGAAAAAAUUCUUUCUACAAGUAAUAAGCAUGCGAAGCAUAACAGAUUAUUAGCUGAUACUUUAACUUGUACCAAAAUGAAGCAGACUGUGCUUACUCGUGGCUUAGGGGGUUGAAGUUUGAUUAAAUGUUUCUGUAUUUGGAUUAAGUUGGUGAAAUGAAAUGAAGUUAGCUUGACGUGAUUAAUUAUGGAUGCAAUGGUAUGGAAAACAAUGUUGAAGUUGAUGAUGCAUUCCAAUGAUAACAAGAGUGAGAAUCAUUAGUCACUUCAAAUCUGAUUUAGAAAAAAGGAGGCUGCAGUUAAUUUUAUUUGGUAUCUGAUUGAUAAUUUCAACAAUCUACUCUAUCUUCUCGGUUUUUAGCAUCUCACCUAAUGAAGACAGUCCAGGCACAGGCAACGGAGUACUUGAAAAGGAAAACUGUUGAGAACAGCAACAGGAAUUCUCCAUUUAAUAAAGAAACAAAAUGUACAGGGAGCAUUCUAUUUCGCAAUGGAA